GGUCUUGACAUCCACAGAACUUUCCAGAGAUGGAUUGGUGCCUUCGGGAACUGUGAGACAGGUGCUGCAUGGCUGUCGUCAGCUCGUGUUGUGAAAUGUUGGGUUAAGUCCCGCAACGAGCGCAACCCUUAUCCUUUGUUGCCAGCGGUCCGGCCGGGAACUCAAAGGAGACUGCCAGUGAUAAACUGGAGGAAGGUGGGGAUGACGUCAAGUCAUCAUGGCCCUUACGACCAGGGCUACACACGUGCUACAAUGGCGCAUACAAAGAGAAGCGACCUCGCGAGAGCAAGCGGACCUCAUAAAGUGCGUCGUAGUCCGGAUUGGAGUCUGCAACUCGACUCCAUGAAGUCGGAAUCGCUAGUAAUCGUGGAUCAGAAUGCCACGGUGAAUACGUUCCCGGGCCUUGUACACACCGCCCGUCACACCAUGGGAGUGGGUUGCAAAAGAAGUAGGUAGCUUAACCUUCGGGAGGGCGCUUACCACUUUGUGAUUCAUGACUGGGGUGAAGUCGUAACAAGGUAACCGUAGGGGAACCUGCGGUUGGAUCAC
rnacentral:rRNA from 1 species